UGUUUAUUCCAUUCAGCUCUGAGCCACCAUUAUGAGGAAUGUGAAAUAGAACAGAAAAUCUCCAUUUGGCGGAUGGGGAAACUAAGGCCCACAUCAGUAAAGAGAUUUUCCCAGGGCCACACGGCUGGUGUUAGUGCCCCAGUCUCCUGACUCCCAAAACAGGACAUUGCCAAUCCAACAAUAUUCACAGCCAAAACGAAGAGUCUGCCAGAGGUCCCAAGUUGUCUGAGGAAAACAACGUGUGAGGCCAGCAAGGAAACCCGGAGUCCUUGACUGGGGGUCACGGAGGCUGGAAAAUGGAUUUGCCUUCCUGACUCUGCUGUGCUGAGUGGGCAGCAGUCUGAUACGGGCUCUGAUGACCCACCACCUGGCAGCCUAAGCGCGUUCAGAUCCACGAUUUCACUGCAUCCUCCAAAUAUCCCCAGUGAAGCAGGUCUUUUACAGGAGACAAAACGGAGGCCCAGGGAGGAGAAAGGCCAGUCACACCAAAAGUACAAAGAGAAGAUGCUCUUGACGUGAAUUUGUUUCUGGAAUUACCCAACUGGAUGCAAGAAGAUGGAUCAGCAGCCCCACGAAGGAUAUCUGAUGACACAGUGAAGAUCCUGCUCCCUUGGUUUUAAAGGCACUGAACGCCCUGAUUAAAAAGCAAGUAUAUUUUCUGGGAAGAAACAUACAUUCAGCCACAGAUUGACCAUUAACGCCAGAAUUUGCACUAGUUUCUCAGUUUAGUUCUUGAAGGAGCCAGAAUGAGAAGAUGAGUCUAGUGAGUUAAAAAAAAAAAAAGAACACUAAUUCAGAGACUAUGGACACUGGAAUUUGGGGGACCAGGGGACUUCUCUGAGUAACACACACACCCUUCAACUAAAUGGUUCAACAGCUUUAAGAAUGGAGGUAGGACUCAAGAGAAAGGCAGACAAGAUGAGAAAGGUGGUGCCAUCUUCCCCUUGGCAAUUCCAGAGGCACCUCGUGUGGUUAAUUUUACUCUUCCAUGUGUAAUAAUAAACCAAUAUGUUCUCAAGUGUCACUUUCUCACUCCCAAAGAGAUUUGCCCAACUCAGCACUGUCUGGAGGGGGUGGUGCAAAGGAGCCAGUGAGAACACUCAAAGGCAGAGGCCAACAAGUCCAAGACCUCCUGGAGUGUAAGAAUAGGAUCUCGGUGGCUGUUUUGAUAUCAGGAAAGCUGCCAAGCGACAGCCCUGAGUGAAAAACCUAGUCAAGAGGAAAUGAAUUUCCACGUUGUUUAGAGGGAUAUUCGUUACAGAGUGAACGAUUUCCUGAUCAUGAGGGCAGUUAAACAUUGUGUGGGAUUGUGGAACUUUCUUCCUUGGAAAUUCCUAUUAGUGUGGGCUGGCUGUAGCAUUUUCUUAUCAAGAGGUAGAAGACGAGACUGAUCGUUUUCAAGGUAGUAUGGUAUAGUGGGAAAAGAGCCUGGAGGCUCGUUAGCCGCACUCUCUAGCUGUGUAGUCUUCGGAGAGUCACUUCAAUUCUUUACGCUUUAGUUUCCUCAUCUGUAAAAUGGGGAUUAUACCUGCCUCUCA